rnacentral:rRNA from 1 species
GACGAACGCUGGCGGCGUGCUUAACACAUGCAAGUCGAACGAAGUGGCGAACGGGUGAGUAACGCGUAAUCAACCUGCCCUUCAGAGGGGGAAAACAGUUGGAAACGACUGCUACUACCGCAUAUGGAAGGAGGGGAAUGGGGCUGAUUAGCUAGUCGGAGGGGUCACGGCCCACCAAGGCGAUGCUCUGUCGCCAGUCUGAGUGGAUGAACGGCAACAUUGGGACUGAGACACGGCCCAGACUCCUACGGGAGGCAGCAGUGGGGGAUCUUCCUCAAUGGACGAAAGUCUGACGGAGCAACGCCGCGUGAGUGAUGACGGCCUUCGGGGUGUAAAGCUCUGUUAAUCGGGACGCGUUACCGGAAUAGAAAGCCACGGCUAACUACGUGCCAGCCGCCGCGGUAAUAC